rnacentral:rRNA from 1 species
GACGAACGCUGGCGGCGUGCCUAAUACAUGCAAGUAGAACGCUGAAGAGAGGAGCUUGCUCUUCUUGGAUGAGUUGCGAACGGGUGAGUAACGCGUAGGUAACCUGCCUUGUAGCGGGGGAUAACUAUUGGAAACGAUAGCUAAUACCGCAUAACAAUGGAUGACACAUGUCAUUUAUUUGAAAGGGGCAAUUGCUCCACUACAAGAUGGACCUGCGUUGUAUUAGCUAGUAGGUGAGGUAACGGCUCACCUAGGCGACGAUACAUAGCCGACCUGAGAGGGUGAUCGGCCACACUGGGACUGAGACACGGCCCAGACUCCUACGGGAGGCAGCAGUAGGGAAUCUUCGGCAAUGGGGGCAACCCUGACCGAGCAACGCCGCGUGAGUGAAGAAGGUUUUCGGAUCGUAAAGCUCUGUUGUAAGUCAAGAACGAGUGUGAGAGUGGAAAGUUCACACUGUGACGGUAGCUUACCAGAAAGGGACGGCUAACUACGUGCCAGCAGCCGCGGUAAUACGUAGGUCCCGAGCGUUGUCCGGAUUUAUUGGGCGUAAAGCGAGCGCAGGCGGUUUGAUAAGUCUGAAGUUAAAGGCUGUGGCUCAACCAUAGUUCGCUUUGGAAACUGUCAAACUUGAGUGCAGAAGGGGAGAGUGGAAUUCCAUGUGUAGCGGUGAAAUGCGUAGAUAUAUGGAGGAACACCGGUGGCGAAAGCGGCUCUCUGGUCUGUAACUGACGCUGAGGCUCGAAAGCGUGGGGAGCGAACAGGAUUAGAUACCCUGGUAGUCCACGCCGUAAACGAUGAGUGCUAGGUGUUGGAUCCUUUCCGGGAUUCAGUGCCGCAGCUAACGCAUUAAGCACUCCGCCUGGGGAGUACGACCGCAAGGUUGAAACUCAAAGGAAUUGACGGGGGCCCGCACAAGCGGUGGAGCAUGUGGUUUAAUUCGAAGCAACGCGAAGAACCUUACCAGGUCUUGACAUCCCGAUGCUAUUUCUAGAGAUAGAAAGUUACUUCGGUACAUCGGUGACAGGUGGUGCAUGGUUGUCGUCAGCUCGUGUCGUGAGAUGUUGGGUUAAGUCCCGCAACGAGCGCAACCCCUAUUGUUAGUUGCCAUCAUUCAGUUGGGCACUCUAGCGAGACUGCCGGUAAUAAACCGGAGGAAGGUGGGGAUGACGUCAAAUCAUCAUGCCCCUUAUGACCUGGGCUACACACGUGCUACAAUGGUUGGUACAACGAGUUGCGAGUCGGUGACGGCAAGCUAAUCUCUUAAAGCCAAUCUCAGUUCGGAUUGUAGGCUGCAAACUCGCCUACAUGAAAGUUCGAAAUCGCUAGUAAUCGCGGAUCAGCUCGCCGCGGUGAAAUUACGUUUCCCGGGCCU